rnacentral:rRNA from 1 species
UACGGAGGAUGCAAGCGUUAUCCGGAAUGAUUGGGCGUAAAGCGUCCGCAGGUGGCGAUGUAAGUCUGCUGUUAAAGAGUGAGGCUCAACCUCAUAAGAGCAGUGGAAACUACAUAGCUAGAGUACGUUCGGGGCAGAGGGAAUUCCUGGUGUAGCGGUGAAAUGCGUAGAGAUCAGGAAGAACACCGGUGGCGAAGGCGCUCUGCUAGGCCGUAACUGACACUGAGGGACGAAAGCUAGGGGAGCGAAUGGG